AGAAGACACAUAUGUUCCAAUACAUUUUAUUUUGAUUUCUUCAGAUUUCCAAGGUGGAGAACAUGUAAGAAUGUAUUGCUUUUCUGAAUGCUUCCAUUUCAGGGAAUGGUUCUUCAUGAUAGAGCACAGAGAAGAAACAUUGCUGCAAACGUGCGCUGAAAACCAUUUUUAACCAGACAGGAAACCACUUAAAGAUUGCACAGACUGCCAGCACACUGCCCUCUAAUUAUCCAGCUGAAGAUGUUGCCUGUGCCACAGAGAUCUUUGUAUGGAGGAGCUCUGAAGAUUUCUUGGGAGGCUGCUUAUGCAGCAGUCAUUAUGCAUGGCCUCCUUCAAGGGACAGGGUGGACCUGGCUGCUAUUACCUGGAGGGUACUCCAAGGCACUCUGCUCUGAAUUGCUUGACACCAUUUGUCCAAG
rnacentral:lncRNA from 1 species